AAAGCGUGGGGAGCAAACAGGAUUAGAUACCCUGGUAGUCCACGCCGUAAACGAUGUCUACUUGGAGGUUGUGCCCUUGAGGCGUGGCUUCCGGAGCUAACGCGUUAAGUAGACCGCCUGGGGAGUACGGCCGCAAGGUUAAAACUCAAAUGAAUUGACGGGGGCCCGCACAAGCGGUGGAGCAUGUGGUUUAAUUCGAUGCAACGCGAAGAACCUUACCUGGUCUUGACAUCCACGGAAGUUUUCAGAGAUGAGAAUGUGCCUUCGGGAACCGUGAGACAGGUGCUGCAUGGCUGUCGUCAGCUCGUGUUGUGAAAUGUUGGGUUAAGUCCCGCAACGAGCGCAACCCUUAUCCUUUGUUGCCAGCGGUCCGGCCGGGAACUCAAAGGAGACUGCCAGUGAUAAACUGGAGGAAGGUGGGGAUGACGUCAAGUCAUCAUGGCCCUUACGACCAGGGCUACACACGUGCUACAAUGGCGCAUACAAAGAGAAGCGACCUCGCGAGAGCAAGCGGACCUCAUAAAGUGCGUCGUAGUCCGGAUUGGAGUCUGCAACUCGACUCCAUGAAGUCGGAAUCGCUAGUAAUCGUGGAUCAGAAUGCCACGGUGAAUACGUUCCCGGGCCUUGUACACACCGCCCGUCACACCAUGGGAGUGGGUUGCAAAAGAAGUAGGUAGCUUAACCUUCGGGAGGGCGCUUACCACUUUGUGAUUCAUGACUGGGGUGAAGUCGUAACAAGGUAACCGUAGGGGAACCUGCGGUUGGAUCACCUCCUUACCUUAAAGAA
rnacentral:rRNA from 1 species